AGAACGAACGCUGGCGGCAUGCCUAACACAUGCAAGUCGAACGUGAUCCAGGCUUCGGCCUGGUGAAAGUGGCAGACGGGUGAGUAACGCGUGGGAACCUGCCCUGUGGUAGGGAAUAACCGUGGGAAACUGCGGCUAAUACCCUAUGAGUCCUUCGGGAGAAAGAUUUAUCGCCAUAGGAGGGGCCCGCGUCGGAUUAGGUAGUUGGUGGGGUAACGGCCUACCAAGCCUUCGAUCCGUAGCUGGUCUGAGAGGAUGAUCAGCCACACUGGGACUGAGAUACGGCCCAGACUCCUACGGGAGGCAGCAGUGGGGAAUAUUGGACAAUGGGGGGCAACCCUGAUCCAGCAAUGCCGCGUGGAUGAUGAAGGCCUUCGGGUUGUAAGUCCGUUUCGGCGGGAAGAUGAUGACGUACCGCAGAAGAGCCCGGCUAACUUCGCGCCAGCAGCCGC
rnacentral:rRNA from 1 species